AUGACAUGGCAGCAAAUGUACAAACAUUGGAAUCACUCAGAGAAGAUUAGCACAACACUUGCACAAAGACAGCACACGUAUUUGUGAAGCCUUUUGUAUUUUG